GAACUUAAGUUAUACAAACUAGGACCUUUAAAAAGCC
rnacentral:tRNA from 1 species